AGUGAGGCUAGGGAUGUGCACCCCGAAAAACCGAAAUCGUCUAGCGGCCUGCCUCACUUCCUAUUAUUAAUU
rfam:Candidatus Thiomargarita nelsonii contig_754, whole genome shotgun sequence.